UGGUGGGCUCAUGUAAUUGUUGCCCCUGAAGAAACUAAAAUAAUUGUAUUUAAUAGAGGAAUAUCAUAAGGGUUAAAUGGUGUAAUAUUUUUAGAAGGUCAUAUUCUUCCAAUUUCAAUUGAAGGUGAGAGGGAUCUAUGAAAAUAGGCUUGAAAGAAAGAUAA
rnacentral:lncRNA from 1 species